rnacentral:rRNA from 1 species
GACGAACGCUGGCGGCGUGCUUAACACAUGCAAGUCGAACGGUAAGGCCCUUCGGGGUACACGAGUGGCGAACGGGUGAGUAACACGUGGGUGAUCUGCCCUGCACUUCGGGAUAAGCCUGGGAAACUGGGUCUAAUACCGGAUAGGACCACUGCCUGCAUGGGUGGUGGUGGAAAGCUUUUGCGGUGUGGGAUGGGCCCGCGGCCUAUCAGCUUGUUGGUGGGGUGAUGGCCUACCAAGGCGACGACGGGUAGCCGGCCGGGGAGGGUGACCGGCCACACUGGAACUGAGCUACGGCCCAGCCACCGACGGGAGGCAGCAGUGGGUAAUAUUGCACAAUGGCCGCAGGCCUGAUGCAGCGACGCCGCGUGAGGGAUGACGGCCUUCGGGUUGUAAACCUCUUUCAGCACCGACGAAGCGCAAGUGACGGUAGGUGCAGAAGAAGGACCGGCCAACUACGUGCCAGCCGCCGCAGUAA